UACGGGGGGGGCAAGCGUUGUUCGGAAUUACUGGGCGUAAAGGGCUCGUAGGCGGCCAACUAAGUCAUACGUGAAAUCCCUCGGCUUAACCGGGGAACUGCGUCUGAUACUGGAUGGCUUGAGUUCGGGAGAGGGAUGCGGAAUUCCAGGUGUAGCGGUGAAAUGCGUAGAUAUCUGGAGGAAUACCGGUGGCGAAGGCGGCAUCCUGGACCAUUACUGACGCUGAGGCGCGAAAGCUAGGGGAGCAAACGGG
rnacentral:rRNA from 1 species